UGUGACCCCGACUCCCAAGCCUGUCCUAACAGAGGAAGAGGACUCAGAAGGUGAUGGGGAGGAACUGAUAAGGCCUCCCUCUCCAGGACCCUCCUCUCUGGCAAUGCCUCAGGUUCCAUCCAAAGGCCAAGAGGAACAGCCUGGGAUAUGCCAGGAGGAAAGCAUAUCGGAACAACAACAGAUAGGGAGUGAGGAUGAUGAAUCCUGGCUUGAUCCCAGGCAGCGUCGGAGGGAGAAGCGUGCGCAGCAACGAAAGAGGCGUGGGAGGACCAGAGAUUGAGCUGAGUCACUGAGCCACACCCCACAAGGAAUAAAAGUGGGUGUGAUUGCUCUUCAGGCUUUGUGAUGGUCAAAGUUAAAAACCUGAGAGUCACAUCGCGUUACCUGAAAUCUGGCUUGUGCAUAUUUGGAUUGGACCUUGGCUAACUCUUGCUUCGUGGAUUACUUUUUGCUACUGAACCGGACUGAGGAUAAACUCUCUCUUGCUUACUGUUCAUCAUUACAUCACAUACUGCAUCUGGAAGUGAGGAACGGGGAAGAGUGUGUCUACUUUUUAUACCUGUGGGCGGAGACUCAGGAACACCACCUGAAGCUGCUGUGACCACUCUAGGAUAUUGCCCCCAUCCAUCCUCAACUUUGGAAAGUCACUUGGCGAAACAGCGCAUGCGCGAAGUCCAUUUCUGCUCUGCCGUCGUCGUGGAAGGACCUGUUCAUCGCAGCUCCGGCGUAGAGGUCUCUAUCGGUCGGGUAGGCCUUGGCUUCGGUCUUGGGGGUCCAGGUGUGCUCCGGAAGGUGUUGGCUUGCAGCGGCUUCUUCGGGAUGAAGAUCCUGAUGGCGUUGGAGUCUCGGUGACGAAAGUUCAUCAUUACAUCACAUAACUGCAUCUGGAAGUGAGGAACGGGGAAGAGUGUGUCUACUUUUUAUACCUGUGGGCGGAGACUCUGGAUUGGAGAGUAUGAGCAAGUUAUAAAGCUGCAUCCACACAGAAUUACAAAUAUCCUUAAUUAUAUAAGAAUCAUAUAAUUCUUUAUAUCAGGAUUUGCCAAUAAGAUGCUCUCCUAAAAACCACCGCGGCCUAAUAACGACCAAGUUUGAUUAAUGUACCAUGGUUUGUAUGGGUCUUCCCUUGUCUAAAAUUACAACUGCUGCACAACAAAGGUAUUAAAUCCAUUCAAAACAAUUAAACCCUUUACAGAAUGGAGGCAUUCAGAACUUUCCUGCAUCAAUCAGAAAAAGAGUGUGAGGUGAGGUAGGGAGUGGUUCAGAUUACUAACUCGAUAUUACCUAUUAAAACUCUAUGGGACAUGGAAUUAGAUUAUCUGAGGGGUAUUUGAUGCUCUCUGAGCUUGGUUGUUGUUCUUUUUGCAGAUGUUUCUCUCUUUUUUUGGUCUCUAUUUUUAUUUUUUGUCUCUAUUUUUAUGCAUAUGUUUCAUUUAUCUAAUUAAAUAAUAUUGUGCACAGUUCAACCUGAUCUACAAAUAUUCUCUUCCAUGAGGUUAUCUGAAGGAGAAUCAGAAUGUUGCUUAAACCUAACUGAUUCAGUGGUGGUCCUAAAAUCUGGGACUAUCCUUACAUAUUGCCAAAAAUUAUCCAUAGCCCUUUUUAUUUUUUUCUGCUGACUCUGCCAAUGAAUUUCCCUUAUUAAUGAUUUUUUUUAUUCUGCAUUUGGUCUAUUUUAAUGAAUUGCAAUUUUAAUCAAGGAUUUAUUCAUUGCAGUAUAUUAGUAUAUAAGAUUUUGUAUAUUAAAUUAUGUUGCCAAUUUGCUUUGUAGUCUUUUUAUCUCCCAGUGACUUCAACUCGAUAAAACGAACUAAACAUGUAGAUAUCACGAUCUGUUUGAAAUGCAACAUCUUUAAUUCUAUAGGACUGCUUCACUUUUAUUUGAGGGUUAAUAAAUAGUUAUCAGCCUUGAAAUUCUCUUUUAUGGUUUCAAUCACACUGAGAUUCCGGUUCUUUCAUGACGCAAAUGUUUGUUGUUCCUUGGUGUCCUUAUAUAUAACUUCACUUACGUUUACUGGCCAAGUAUUGUUGACCUAAUUUGUUUUCUAGAUACACAAGUAAUUGGCAUUUUGUUUAUCCCUAUUGCCAUACUGCUUGUUAUGAAAUAACGUACUAUUGAAAAAAUAUGCAGUUAUAAAACUACAUAAUUAAAUCUUUAAUUACUCU